GCCUACAAGAAACGUUAAAAGGUAAGUUAGGACGGGGCCCCGGCACGAAGACGGCGGAGCAUGUGGAUUAAUUCGAUGCAACGCGAAGAACCUUACUGGGUUUGACAUAUACCGGAAAGCUGCAGAGAUGUGGCCCCCCUUGUGGUCGGUAUACAGGUGGUGCAUGGCUGUCGUCAGCUCGUGUCGUGAGAUGUUGGGUUAAGCCCCGCAACGAGCGCAACCCCUAUCUUAUGUUGCCAGCACGUUAUGGUGGGGACUCGUAAGAGACUGCCGGGGUCAACUCGGAGGAAGGUGGGGACGACGUCAAGUCAUCAUGCCCCUUAUGUCCAGGGCUUCACACAUGCUACAAUGGCCAGUACAGAGGGCUGCGAGACCGUGAGGUGGAGCGAAUCCCUUAAAGCUGGUCUCAGUUCGGAUCGGGGUCUGCAACUCGACCCCGUGAAGUCGGAGUCGCUAGUAAUCGCAGAUCAGCAACGCUGCGGUGAAUACGUUCCCGGGCCUU
rnacentral:rRNA from 1 species